CCCUUAGAUGUUCUGGGCCGCACGCGUGCUACACUGAGUGGAUCAGCGGGUCAGGUUGCGCGAAAGCGUUUCCUAAUCUUUAAAUCCGCUCGUGAUGGGGAUUGACGGUUGCAAUUUUCUGUCAUGAACGAGGAAUACCUUGUAAGCGCGGGUCAUCAUCCCGCGCUGAAUACGUCCCUGCCCUUUGUACACACCGCCCGUCGCUCCUACCGAUUGAGUGGUCCGGUGAGGCUUUGGGAUCUGAGCGGAAAGAGCGUUUCGCUGUUUCUGCUCGGAAAACUCAGUCGAACCUUAUCAUUUAGAGGAAGGAGAAGUCGUAACA
rnacentral:rRNA from 1 species